rnacentral:rRNA from 1 species
UACGUAGGGUGCGAGCGUUAAUCGGAAUUACUGGGCGUAAAGCGUGCGCAGGCGGUUUUGUAAGCCAGAUGUGAAAUCCCCGGGCUUAACCUGGGAACUGCAUUUGUGACUGCAAGGCUGGAGUACGGUAGAGGGGGAUGGAAUUCCGCGUGUAGCAGUGAAAUGCGUAGAUAUGCGGAGGAACACCGAUGGCGAAGGCAAUCCCCUGGACCUGUACUGACGCUCAUGCACGAAAGCGUGGGGAGCAAACAGG